UUUGGAGCCACCAUAGGCUGACACCGCCAUAGAACCAGGAAGUCUCAAACAGCAAACAAGCUAUUUUAAACCUGUCAGAUGAGUGAAACUGAAAUGCAGGCAUCUAGUUAUCUUUUGUAGAGGGCAUUAAUAACCAGAUUCCUUCAAAUGGAUAGUUUAUCAGAACGUGGGUUUUGAGCGCGAGUGAGCUCCAAGGACUACCUUCAUUUUUUUGCUAAGAAACACAGUAACAUGCAUGUAAAUAAACACUACAAUAAAGGCCACAUCGGUACUUGCCAUAGACAAAAAAGACAGUGAAACAUAGAUCAAAAUGCAUAACAAAGACAUACUGAACUAAAGCCCACAUAAUGCACUAAGCACUCUCAUGUUUGUGAAUUUCACUGAAUAUGAAAUUUAUUGAAUAUGUGUGGGCUAAUCUAGACAGAUCUCUAACUCAGAAGAAAAAAAAAACAUUUGAGUGAAUAUAUAUCCUGGUAUUGCAAUAUGGGAGCUAUUUCAGAAAUGCAGUGUAAACAGUAAUCAGGAUCACAAUAAAGCAACAUGUACAUGUAUAUGUAGUCUGUUUUGUUAUGGUGUUUGAAACUGACACUAGUUAUGUGUUUACAACCUGUCUUUACCAUCUUGCUCUCAUUCAAAACACAACAUUGAUGAUUUGUUUUUAAAUACAAUAAUCUUCAAAGGCUUCUGGAGGAAAAUGUGAAAUAAUCACUAUGAAAUGUAAGGUUUUACAUUGCUUUCAAAAUAUUUGUGUUACUAUCAGCAUUAUUUUUGAAAUGUGGAUAUAC